rnacentral:rRNA from 1 species
GAACGCUGGCGGCGUGCUUAACACAUGCAAGUCGAACGGGAAACCUUUUAUUGAAGCUUCGGCAGAUUUAGCUGGUUUCUAGUGGCGGACGGGUGAGUAACGCGUGGGUAACCUGCCUUAUACAGGGGGAUAACAGUCAGAAAUGGCUGCUAAUACCGCAUAAGCGCACAGAGCUGCAUGGCUCAGUGUGAAAAACUCCGGUGGUAUAAGAUGGACCCGCGUUGGAUUAGCUGGUUGGUGGGGUAACGGCCCACCAAGGCGACGAUCCAUAGCCGGCCUGGGAGGGUGAACCGCCACAAUUGGACUUGGGCCCGGCCCAGACUCCUACGGGAGGCAGCAGUGGGGAAUAUUGCACAAUGGGGGAAACCCUGAUGCAGCGACGCCGCGUGAAGGAAGAAGUAUCUCGGUAUGUAAACUUCUAUCAGCAGGGAAGAUAAUGACGGUACCUGACUAAGAAGCCCCAGCUAACUACGUG